ACGAACUUUGCAUGACACAUCACAACUAUUUUUAGAGCUAGAAGAAGCCAGUUCUAGGAAAGUUCACCCAGAAGCAGUCUGGGCUCUCUCUCAAGGGGAAUAGGAAUGCAGGUCAUCGCAAGCCUGUUGAUCGCAUGGAUGCAGUUGUCACAAAUGAAUGGAAAACAGGUAAAGCAAAUUCCUCGAUUCUGGCACGUCUUGGAAGGAGAGAACUUCUCCGCAUACUGCAAUUCUUCAGCCUCUUUAAACAACUUAGAGUGGUACAAGCAGAAGCCUGGGGGUCAUCCAGUCCUCUUGGUGAGGCUAGUGAAGGGUGGAGAAGUGAAGAAGCAGGACAGACUGACAACCCGAUUUGAAGAAGGAAGACAGGACGGCUCCCUGCACAUCACAGCCACCCGGGGAACUGACGUAGGAACCUAUUUCUGUGCAGCGGCACAGUGCUCCCCAAGCACCUGCUGCCUGUACCCAAACCUCGCCCUGAGAAGCCACAAAGAGUGUCUCAUCCCUAGGGUAGCUCAGAAGGUGGAGAAAGCUAAAGUCACAUUGUCUGCAAAGAGAUGGUGCCCCUCCUCCUCAUGGCAAUAGGGAUGCGUGUAG